rnacentral:ncRNA from 2 species
GGGCGUGAAACCGGGGGGACCACCCUCCAAGGCUAAAGACUCCCGUGUGACCGAUAGUGAACGAGUACCGUGAGGGAAAGGUGAAAAGUACCCCAGUGCGGGGAGUGAAAGAGUUUCUGAAACCACAUACUUACAAGCGGUAGGAGGCUGGGCUGGUCUUCGGAUCAGUCGCGGCUGACUGCGUGCCUUUUGCAUUAUGAUCCGGCGAGUUACUCCUCAGAAGCGUAGGCUAAGCGGCUAAGCUGCGGAGCCACAGCGAAAGCGAGUCCUGUAACGAGGGCGACUUAGUUUCUGGGGGUAGACCCGAAGCCAGGGCGAUCUACCCAUGUGCAGAGUGAAGCGCGGGUAACACCGCGUGGAGGCUCGAACCAGUACGGGUUGAAAACCGUUUGGAUGACGUGUGGGUAGGGGUGAAAGGCCAAUCAAGCCUGGAGAUAGCUGGUUCUCCCCGAAAUCUAUUGAGGUAGAGCCUCAGGAAGUGUUUGCAGGAGGUAGAGCGACUGGAUGGGCGCGGGGGGUCGAAGACCCUACCAACCCCAACCAAACUCCGAAUGCCUGUUAAAUGAAUCCUGGGAGGCAGUCGUUGAGCGAUAAUGUCCAACGGCGAGAGGGAAAGAACCCAGAACCACAGCUAAGGCCCCAAAGUGGCCGCUAAGUAUAGCGAAGGAUGUGAACGUGCCGUGACAACUGGGAGGUUGGCUUAGAAGCAGCCAUUCCUUGAAAGAGUGCGUAAUAGCUCACCAGUCCAGCGUGUUCGCGCCGAGAAUGGUCGGGAUUAAGCGGCCCGCCGAAGCUUGGUCUUCAUACUUAUGUAUGAGGGGUAGGGGAGCGUUC